ensembl:lncRNA
CUUCCCAGUGUCUCCAAGUCAUUUUGUUUAUCAUUCAAAUGAAUACCGUGUUCCAUUAUCCAUGAGGGAGCAGGAGUAAUGUGUUAACGUCCCUCACUGGUGGCUCGUCUUCUGGUCCGAGCUUGACAGCGCGGCAGAUGAUGAGAGACAAAAGCCUGACAGAGGGGCGGCGAAAAACAGACAAGCAUCAGAUAGAAGCACAGGAACAGAUUUGCCCCGAGAACCUGGAGAAUAAAGCCUCUGGUUGUGCUGCGGCUCGUCUUCUCCAGCGGAUUUCCUCAUGAAUAUUUCCACGGCUGUGGAGAGGUGGAUUUCCACCCAUUGCAGCGUUAAGAAAAGAUGGACCGACUGCCGCCAAACCCGAAGAGGAGACAGGCCUUACACUGCUCUCUCAUACUGCUUCAAUUACCAGUCUGCUGUACAAAGGAGGCAGCCUGAUGGCAUGACGAGUGCACAGCGCUCCUCCGCCUGUGCUGUUGUCUCGAUUCUUUUUUUUGAGGCUCAUAAAAGGAAACGGGCCUGACGAUGCCAGAGGCGGGAGGAUCUGGCUCUGCGGUCCGCACAGAGAGAAACGUCAGCAGCAGAGCGGCGUUCUUCAGAGGGAGAUGUCCUUCGGUGGGGGACCGACUGUCCCCGAGGCGGCAGCUCAGCACACAACGUCUUGUUUACCAUAUGCAGGAUCUCUCGGUGCCCUUAACGAGCCGGGGCGUUCACAGCAUCGCGGAGACAAAGGCCACGCUUUCACCGGAGAAGCUCUGGUUUGAGCUGCAUUAAAUAAUGAUAAUUAAGAAAAUAUUAAUCAAACCGUGGCUCUCUCGGCUCUGCAGCUGUGUGAAGGGAGCGGAUCCUGCAGCUUAGCCUGUAGGAGUUCUCAUUUGGAGUAUGCCUGCGACCUAUAGAGCUGCAGGCAAACACACACACACACACGGAUGCACACAAUUAAAAGGAGACCUUGGUGGCCCACUACUCUAUAAUUAAACACCCUUUGGUGCUCCGCACAAAAAAUGGGAGCCGGGUUCAGAUGUGUCAAGGAGGGAGAGCGAUGGAAAAGGAAACUUCAGACGCUGUCGCUUCCCCAAAUUGAAAGCGCCGUUGAAUGCAAUAAAUGAAUAAAAAGC